UUUCAGAAUGCAACUGACAGGUACUAGCCUAUGUUUAUGGGAGGAAAAAAAUCAAUUACCUGAGACAAGGGGCCUAGAUAUCUUGGAAACAUGUCUUGAGAACAACCCAACAUUUGCAGAUCAAAGGCCCUGCCCAAUAUCAUUGUAAGGAAGGUCCCAAGUCUGGUGCCAGGAACCUUUCUGCCCAGUAAUGUAACACCCAGGGAGGAUCCUGCACUUGGGUGUUCUGCCUAGUAAUCUUCCAGAGAUGGGUAGGGAAUAUGGUUGAAAAAAUUUGCCCAUACCCAUACAAACCAUAGUCUAAAUGCGGAUGGGGGCAUAUACACUGACUUUUGGCUGAGCUCCCUUCUUGAUGAGUCAGGUGCACUUCUUCAUCAACCUCACUAGCAGUGCUUGCUGCCAGUCUCUUGUCUCUCCUCUGAAUUCUUGUCGAAUGGGGAGGUAAGGACUCCAUUAUAAAUGUACCUGAACAAAUGCUGUGAAGAGUUGGCCUGUCUUCCUGGGAGAAGUGAGGGAUGAUCCCAGAAGCUUAAAAGGCCUAUUUGCCUGUGAGAAACUCCCCUUUAGACUACCUUGGUGAUGUCACAGCUCUUUCCAUAUUUCAAGGGGAGAAGCAAAUUUUGGAAGUGCUGAGCUUCAACUUCCAGCCUUACUGGCAAUGCCGCUUUCUCUACCUUUGUCAAAACAACACACACACACACACACACACACACAACCAACAAAACACAACUUUGGGCUGAGUUAACAAAUCAAACUCACAUAAGACCACAGUUAGUUUGUUCUGAAUUCCUGGGAUCCUGUAUGUGGGGAGUUCUGAAAGGCUUGUGUUCAAGCAGCCCAGCAUCUGCAACCCCUGGAAAUGUCGUAGGGUGGCUUGUCCAUGUUCUUUUCUUCAGGGCAAGAAAAGAGUUCAAGGAUGAGACUUAGGUAAAGCUUAGCAGAGAAACAAGAUUUAGUUACAUGCAAAGUGAUGCAUGCUCGAGAGAGCUACAUUCUGUAAGGUUCAGGUCCAUCCUUUUCUAUGGCCUGGAGGCCAAAGGGAUGGGCUUGGAGCAGAGCUUCUAAGAGCAGAAAGAGCAUUUUCCUAGAAAUUUUCUCACCUUACACUUUGUUUUUUUUUUUUUCACAGUUGUUAAAAAAUGUAUGAAGUGCCAACUAUUUUGGCUCAAAGAAUUUUGUGAUCUUAGAUGUAGAAGCUAUGGAAAUAGGAAGUAUGGAAACAAAAAUGUCCUAUCGGUGUUGAAUAGUAAGGUAUUAGGUGGGUGGGUGUGUCAAAGUGAGUUUAAAUCUGGGAUAGAGACCACUGAACUAACACACUUCAUUGUAUAACGUUGGGGGCAGUUGUGUACUCCCUUUGAACCAAAACUGCACUAGAUUGUGAACAAAGCUUUGGAGAGAGCAUUUCAGCAUUUUAUUUGCAGAUACUGGCCUACCUACCAAUCAAAACACAACUCCCUUCUAGGCAACCUGGAGACACACAGCUUUGGACCCAAGAAGGUUUGAGUAUAUACAAGGGUAGGGAGACAUAUUAGGGAGAGGUAAACAACCUAGACCUUUAGUUUGGUUCAUAAAGGGUAUGCAGUGAUGGGAAUUCCACCUGAGGGCAAGGGAAAUUAGACCACCACUAGAAGGGCUGCCCUAGAUCAAGGCCACCUUGGAUAACUCAGCUAGAAUUUCUCUGUCUAGGCCUUCGGGAUUGGGAAUCAGGAGAGCAAUUAUGUUCAGAGACUUUCUGGAAAGUAUCAAGUUUCUUUUGAACACAUAAAACAUUCAUACCACUGUGGAACUAGCAGGGAUCACCAUCAGUGACACUCAGUAGUGUGGCCUCUUUCAAGGCUCACACAAAAGCAGUUGAUUAGACAAAUCAUAUUUGCCCAAUGUCUGUGUCAGCAAUGAAGCCUGAAAUGGAAUUCUUGAUUCAGAGAACAGAAUCUUACAAUUUCCCUCCUCUGCAGUGAUUUAACACAUACUCUCUGCUUACAAUAUAGCCAUAGAUAGAAGCUGUUUCCAUUCAUCAUCUCUUUGGCAAUAUCCUUCAUAAGGUGGAUUGAAUUGCUAAACCUGUUUUAUGGAAGAGAUGACAGCUUAGAGAUAAUAGAAAUCUUCAACUCUUUCUCAUCUAUAACAUGUAAAAUUGUGUAAAAAAAUCUGAGACAAAAUUAGGACUCAAAUCCCAGUGUCCAGUGCUUUUUAGCACAGUGUAUACUAGGCAAUGAUCAAGAAAGGAGAGCUGGAUCAAACACUUUAUCAUUCUACAUUAUAAACUGGGGAGAUAAUGUUUGCUGGCUUUUUUUCUCAGAAAUGUCAUAACAGAUUUGAGAUCAUUGUUGUGAAAACUUUAGUAAAUAAGAGCAUGCUAUGGAACAUCUUCGAUGUCCCUCUUUAAAUCCUAGUAACUUUUCAAAAUGAGUUUAUUUGCUCAUGGAAACAAGCACUUUAAAGAUAGUUGAGAAAGCCCUACCUAAAACCACAAUCAACAGUUUCUGGAAUCUAUCUGACAAUGCUUUCUGAAUAGUUUGUUUCUGGGAUGUCUUCUCCUUCGUAAGGAAAAAUAGUGGUCUUAGAUUCAACCAGAACAAAUGGAUGGAGAAUGUCUAGAUGAGUGCUGAUAAUAUGUCUAAAAAUGGAAGUAUGUCCACUCUUCUUGGAUGCAUAUCUUGGUGAUGACGGGCACACACAGCACACGGUAUCCUGGGAGGGCCCAUCACCACUGUUGCCCUCUAUUCCAGAAGUUCCUGGUGUGCUGGCAGUGAGGUCUGGGACGGGAACUGGGCACUCAUGGAUCUCAAAUUGGUAAGUGGAAGCCGCACAUCUACAAACUCUGCCCUUCUGUGAGUCAAAGGCCGAGACACCAUACAGAGAAUGGAUUGGUGGUGAGUACAGAUGAUCUGUCCCUUCAUCAGGUAUCAUCCAUGGGAGCCUACUGUAUUUCACUUGCUGACAUCCCUACCGCUGACUUAAGACUCCUGAGACUAGGACCAUAGAUUCUAGAAAAAAAUAAUAGAAGAUCCUUUUCAGGUACAUAGGUUGGCCCCUUUUCCCAUUCAAACCCUUCCAUUAACAGACAAAGAACCAAAUGUUUAUAUGAGAGUGUGUUGAAACCUUCAGAUGAUUUUGCUGAGACAACUUAUCUGUGUUUGAAAGACUAUUUUGGGCUGGUGCCACAGCUCACUAGGCUAAUCCUCUGCCUGCAGCACUGGCACAUCGGGUUCUAGUCCCGGUAGGGGCACCGGAUUCUGUCCCGGUAGCUCCUCUUCCAGUCCAGCUCUCUGCUGUGUCUCGGGAGUGCAGUGGAGGAUGGCCCAAGUGCUUGGGCCCUGCACCACAUGGGAGACCAGGAGGAAGCACCUGGCUCCUGGCUUCGGAUCGGCACAGCACGCCGGCUGUAGCGGCCAUUUGUGGGGUGAACCAAUGGAAAAGGAAGACCUUUUUCUCUGUCUCUCUCUCACUAACUCUGCCUGUCCAAAAAAAAAAGACUAUUUUGCAUAAAACAAGUUCUUAACCCAAAACUGGGAAGAUGUUAUUUCUUCCCUAAGCUUCCUGGCAGGAGAUCAGCUGAAGGAUUUUAAAUAUCAGCCUUCUGUGAGGUAUUGCCCAAUGUAAAAAUCUGCCCAGGAAUUUAAUAGGGAUGGCCUGAAAUGUAUCUGAAAAGAUUAAUUUUUAAAAUAUAUAUGUAUUAAUUUAUUUGAAAGAACAACAGAGGGAGAGAGGGAGAGGAGGGGGAGAGGGAGAGGAGGGGGAGAGGGAGAGCAGAGAAGAGGAGAAAAAGAGAAGAGAAGGGAAAGGAAGGGAAGGGAAGGGGAGGGGAGGAGAGGGAAGGAGAGUAGAGAAAGAACAAAAGAAAUAUCUUCAACCACGGCUGGUGCUGUGGCGUAGUGGGUAAAACCACUGCCUGCAUGUCAGCAUCCCAUAUGGGCACCAGUUCAAGUCCCAGGUGCUCCUCUUCCCAUCCAGCUCUCUGCUCUGGCCUGGGAAAGCAGUAGAAGAUGGCCCAAGUCCUUGGACCCCUGCACCUGCAUGGGAGACCUGGAAGAAGCUCCUGGCUCCUGGCUCCUGGCUCCUGGCUUUGGAUGAGUGCAGCUCCAGUCAUUGUGGCCAUUUGAGGAGUGAACCAGCAAAUGGAAGACAGACUUUCUCUCUCUCUCUCUCCCACCCCUGUGUAACUCUGCCUUCCAAGUAAAUAAAUAAAUCUUUUAAAAAAAGAAAAAAAAGAAAUAUUUCAACCUUCCGGUUUACUACCCUAAUGUCCAUAACAGCCAGAGGUAGGUCAGGCAGAAGCCAGGAGCCAGGAGCUGCCACACGGGUGGCAGGGGCCCAAGCACUUGGGCUAUCUUCUUCCUUCUCAGGCAUGUUAGUAAGAUGUUGGAUCAUAAGCAGAGCAGCCAGCACUGGAACUGGCAUUCUGAUAUAGGAGUGACAGCUUAAUCUGCUGCACCACAAUACCAGCCUUAAAGAUGAAUUUCAGAAAUAGGAAAAAAGUCUUUUCCUUAUUCCCUCACCUCUCUCUUGCAGUGAUAAUGGACUUCCCUCCUUCAGAGUAUCCAAAGGCUUCUCCACCACCCGGAAUCCUAGAACAGCAACACUGUGGGGAGCAAGCCGGACUGGACUGAGUUACUGGAAUUAAGACUUAUUCUAUGCAUCUGCUCUCCCACAGUAUGGCGCUGGGAGAGGAGUAAACAGCUUCUACCCAGCUGCCUCUCACCAACUUGACAAGCUGCAGGAGCUGCUCCUGAUUGGAGGAGAGCGGCGUACUCGGCGUGUGGGCAGCCGAGUUAGGAUUGGCGGAGGAGGACUAUAAAGGAGGAGAGAGACGGCAUGCACCAGGAACAUCUAAGAGGAACAUCUAAGGGGAACACCUGUGCAGCCCCCGAGAGAGCCGGCCGGCGGUGUGCCGCUCCCCUGUGGAAGUGGGGAAUGUGGCCAGGGGGAACUGCCCUUCCACGGAGGUGGAAGGGAUAGUAGCCAACCCGGGAAGAACCAGCAGCAAACCCGGGGAGGGCCGAGCAGACGAAAGAACAGCGCAGGGUCCUGUGUUGCUCCUCCACGAAGAGGGGGAGCGACACAACACCACUUCUAAGACACAAAAGAACUUCAAGCUUUGCUUCUCAGGUGGUCACACAGUGUCUUCGUUUUCCUUUUCAAGGAGUUGGAGCAUUCUGUACCCAAGAAUACACCUACACAGCUGCUGAGAAAGGGCCUUGGCCUUGCCAUUGGUUUACCUUCACUGCGAGAAUCUGUGAGUUGACCAGAAUUUUUGUUUAUGUUUCACAUUCAUGAUGAUGUAGAAGCCUGCAG